AAUGACUCCUGUUUGGACACUCCCUGUGCCUGUUGUGUGGGCCACUCAGAAAGUUGACAGAACACCCGGUGGCAUCAGAGACAUUCAAACUGCAAAAGAUGCUUCAUCUAAAGACUUUAUGACUGGCUCAGAAUGAGUUUAUAAUUGCUCCAACUAUUACCCUUUGUUUCCACAGAAACACGUUUUAUUAAAUAUCUUGAGUGCUCCCAACCUAUAGGCCUCACUUCGGGAUCCCCCCUGCAACACUGCCUCCUGAAAUGAGACACAGCCAUUUAACUGAACUGACCUCUUCUCAAGAUUAAGAGACCCAUCCAAGGACACAACCCAGCUAUUCAUCAGCUCAGCCUCUGGACUGUUGGUUUCCUGUGAAGGGUCAGAGGUUCAGCUGGAGGAUGGUGUCCUUGACGGCAGCGAAGACAAAGCGGAUGUUCUCCGUGUCCGUGGCGCACGUGAAGUGGGAGUAGAUGACCUUCUCCUUGUCAGGGUUCUGGUCCUGAUAGAGCUUCAGGAUAAAGUCUCUGGCAGCCUUGACGUCUUGCUUCGGUCCUGGUUCCGAGCACAGUUAGAGGGAUAAAGAAGAAAGAUGCCACUCACCACCAGCUCCCCACACUCCCCACCUGGCAUACCUCAUUGUCACACUCAGCCAGGACCUGGUCGUAUUCACUCAGCGCAACCAAGAAUAUGAUGGAGGUGACGCUCUCAAAACAGUGGAUCCACUUCCGCCUUUCGGAUCGCUGGCCACCCACAUCCACCAUCCUGUCCAACAGAAACACAGGAGUGAAAAGGGGUCCUGAGACUGAAAGGUUUGAGCACCACUGCUUUCGACAAUGAGGAACCACCAGGCGUUUCCCAGCAGAGGAGGAUGGA